ACGUGGGUAACCUGCCCUAAGUGGGGGAUAACAUUUGGAACAGAUGCUAAUACCGCAUAAAACCUAACACCGCAUGGUGUAGGGUUGAAAGAUGGUUUCGGCUAUCACUUUAGGAUGGACCCGCGGUGCAUUAGUUAGUUGGUGAGGUAAAGGCUCACCAAGACCGUGAUGCAUAGCCGACCUGAGAGGGUAAUCGGCCACACUGGGACUGAGACACGGCCCAGACUCCUACGGGAGGCAGCAGUAGGGAAUCUUCCACAAUGGACGAAAGUCUGAUGGAGCAACGCCGCGUGAGUGAAGAAGGUUUUCGGAUCGUAAACUCUGUUGUUGGAGAAGAAUGUAUCUGAUAGUAACUGAUCAGGUAGUGACGGUAUCCAACCAGAAAGCCACGGCUAACUACGUG
rnacentral:rRNA from 1 species